CAGAAACUGAAAACCAUGGUUUCAGGCUGCUAAAAACCUAACAUGAAACAAAACAGAAGAACAACAACAACAAAAUAAGGUUGCUGACCAGAACUCAACAGUGAGGGAAUUUACCUCCUGCUUCAUGCAUGCAACAUCAAAAUAAGAUGCCCUGCCCAGAGAGGAGAAAUCUGGCAGUCUGGCUGCAAGGGCCUUGCUGAGCUGCAGUGGGCUCCACCCAGUUUGAACUUCCCAGAGGCUUUGUUUACACUGUGAAGGAAGAGUGACCUAUGGGAUCCAUGGAGGAGCUGCUUCCUGAAUCUGUGUAAAGUAGAUCUUGCCGUGUGGGUAACUGUGACUGCGGUGGCCAUGAAGAGGCACAACUCAGACCUCGGAUCUCCUGCUGCAGAGAACAUUGACUGACAGCCCAGCAGCUCCUGUCUGGAUCUACCACCUGUUCACAAUUCUGAAAUACAUUCAACGCACACUUUCCUACUGAGAUUUCUAAAAUGGGACUUGGAAAACAGAAAAAUACGUAAGCAUCCUCUUUCAGGCCAGUAAAGUGGGGUACUAUCAUCUAAAUCUCCAAAAAGGUCAUUCAACUCUGAUCCCUGUUUAAAGAGAGAAAAAAGGAAUAAAGGAGCCUUUGAAGGCAGAAUAUUGCUCACUCAUCUCUUUGAAAGGACCUCAGACUGCAGAGCAGAAGAACCACUGGCUACAUCAGCUGGGGCAGAGGGGGAUGAAGAGAACAUCAUGAUGCCUGCAAAAAAGUGGGCUCUGCAGGAUCUCCAGUCACCUCCCUUCCCUUCAGAUCCAGAGCUCUCUCUGGCUAGGACCUUCCAGAGUUCCAGAAUUUUUGUUCCACCUUCCAUUGCUCACUUCUAUUACUAUUACUAAGAUAUUCACAUGGAAUUCUGUGCAAACCAUUUUUUUUUUCUUUUGGUGCCCUCUUUGUUUUACUUCCUCUAUUGGGACUAAUGGCCAUCUGACUUGGGGGUCCUUUGUUUUUUGUGACAAACCACCCUCAGCAGAUUUCCUUGAGGUCCAUUUGCUCAAGGGCCUUAAAGCUUUUUGGAGUAAUACAGAGUAAGUUUCUAGACAGCCUCUUGUGCUCUGCAGUAAGCUAAAGUGGAAGAUUAAGAUGCCUGGUGUAUACUGUGUGUUUCCCAUGUAAUGGCAGAAAAGGAAUGGGGCUCAUUAGUUACUUUAAGGUGGCAGCAGCUACCUUAGAGAAGACUGCAUUGCUUGUACUGAUUCAAAAGAGCACCUAAUGAAGGGAAAAAGCAGAAAUAAGCCAAGACUUGAGCUGAGUGAUUCGUUGAAUCAGCCAAGGAUAAUGUUCUUCAGGCACUAUGCACAUGUCACUGAUCAGUAGCGCUUCUCUUAAGCUUCAACAGCACUCACUUCCCCUGUCUUGAUGAGAUGAUGCUGCACCAUGAAUACUGGCUUUCAAUGACUUUCUCAAAAGUUGUUGCUGUGCUUCAUUGUUGAUGACCAAAAAUGCAAGUCUUAUCCAGAGUAUGCAAGAAAAUGUGAACAAUAAUUUGUUUUCUGAUUAUGUUGAAUUUACUGUUUAUAAUCUGAACAUAGAGCAUGUCUUCCAACUCUAUCUUCUCUUAAACUCUAUGCUGUAAUUACUACAUUCCUAGACAGUGAUUCUUUUCAUGUUAACUGCACUCCUGCCUUCCACUCACUGCCACCAGUGGAGAGGACUAAAUGAAUGAGAAGAGCAGCCUCAUUGGCACAAGGAACAUCUCUCAUCAGGAAUGGCUUCAACUGAUCCAGGAGUGCUUGAUAUCCCCACAUCUGUGGAGGCAGGGGAGGACAUCAAUUGGAAAAGCCCCUUGCUGUUUCAGAGCAAAGAUCUUGAAAGCACCAGGUAGAGAAAGAUGUAGCCAUUGUCAAAAGACUGCCUGUUAGAUGAAUGGGACAGUGGGAUGACCACCCUGGGUUCAGUGGUAAAGUCAAAUGGAGUAAAGGAUGCCUGUUGCCACCCCAGCUGCACUUGGGUGCUGAAGAUCAGAAGUGAAACUACAGAACAAAUCCAGAUGAGAGCUCACCUAGGGGCUCACACAUAUAGUUCAGGCCAAGGUUCAGUGAUGGACCAUCAUCAGUACUCAGAGCACUGAACUUGUCCUGGGUGUGAUGUAUUUGAGAGUCACUUAAAAUCAUCAUAUCGCUGCCAUUUUGGCCACCCAAUCUCAUAGGAUUCUGUGAAAUAAAUAUGGCACUGGGCAGCAGGAGCAAUUCACUUGUCAGGAAUCCCUCCUGGAAUCAGGGCUUGGCCAAGGACUUCAAGCCAACCACCCAAGGCAUGAAUCCCAGAACUCCUGGGGGCAUCUGGCAACUUCAUGUGCAGAAUAUAUCUUCUCUGACCUAGUGUGGCUGAUGAUGAGAGGUCUGAUGCUGGUUGAAGUUCUUGGUUUUCACAGGUAUCUUUUACAUUUCUAUCUUUCCUGCUAAACCUUCUCAGUAUCUUCUAUUAUGGAUGUAUUGAAGUUUUAUAGUGAUGGGUCUAGAUGUGUGUGUGUAUGUCUGCAUGUGUAUGCACAUAUGUGAGUUGUCAACUUGAGCACUUGGGUACUUGAUUGGCUUCUUAAUUUGGAUACUCAUGUCCUUUGACUCUGGGACAAUCCUUUGCGAUAAUUCUUUGAUUUCUUUCUUUUUGUUUUUCUCUUUUUGUCACUCCUAUUGAUCAGAUGUGGGGCCUCUUGGACUGAUCCUCAACACAUCUUACCUUUCUCAUUUUCUUACAUCUUCUUGCCUUUGUUCUACAACAUUGGUUUUAUUAUAUUUUACCUACUAUUAGAAUUUCGGGCUCAUAUAUUUAUUUUUCAAUAGUUUUUCCUUGUUAGCUAGUUGUACUUUGUUGAUGCAAUAUUUUUUUUUACUACUCUUUCUAAGAAUAUUUAUUAAAGAGUUUUUAAAGGUUAAAUUGUGUUUCCAAAUUAUUUCUCUUCUUUCCAACGUUGCAUAUGCUGCUUGUUAAUCUUGGUUUCUCUCUUUUGGGUUGUAGAUGUUCCUCAGAGAUCUUUGGGUGUUACAUCACAUUUAAGAGCCAGACAAU
rnacentral:lncRNA from 10 species